UUUCUGCAGUCUUCUUCCACAUUUAUUACUUUUUAUUUAUUCUUUCAUUACCUGGUGAUGUUCCAUUUGUUGUAAUAAUUUUGGAAAAAAUUCUAGAGUUUUGCCCAUGCAUUAUCAUUUCAUCCACUUAAAAGAGUUUCACAUGCCAGGUUUUAGCUUAAGUUUCUGUGCACUCAUUUAUUUGUUUACAAUUUAAAACCAAAUAAGCAGAUGGUGGGAAGCAAAAAGUUAAUUGGUUUAAAUUAUGGUUUGAACUUUUCUAUAAGUUGAAAUUGCAGCACUCCUGGAACCCUAAUCUAUAUAUAACACUGAAAAAAGUUGAAAGCUACAUUUUCUUUCGUGUUGUUCAGAGCUUUUCAUGCUUCUUUUUCUAUUCUUCCACGGUAUUUCUUUCAAUUGACUUUGAUUCUACUGUAUUUUUUGGUUUGGAGUGGCUGUGUCCUUAAUUUUUUUAAAAUAUUCAAAUUUUGUCUGGAUAAUGCUAAGAUUUAAAGAGUUCAGAUUUCAAUAUAGUGUCUGUAUGGUUGAGCGGUUGGGUGUCAGUUUUUAGCUUUCAGGCUCUCAAGCACUGGCCUGUACUGUUUUGUAAACAUGACUUUCAAUUAACUUUUCGGAAGUUAUCAGUCAAUAGUUCAAAAUUACAACUGUAUUGAAAGCCAUAGUUAUUAAAGGUGCGCCUAGACUCAAGGUUCACCAAGCUCCAACUCUAGCACUUUAUGCGCUUAGACGAGCGCCUGUGUUCCUAGCACAAGGCUUUGGAAACACACGCCUACUUUAUUUCCACCUUUGGCGAGCACUUUCAUUGGCAAAAAAACAUUACCGCUUAAAAUUGAUAUUUGUCGAUCUUUUAGAAUUCUAUAUUGACGUACUAGAAAGUUUUCGGAAUUAGUAUCAUUGGUGAUAACUAAUAAUCAAAAUCUCAUCAAACCAAA
rnacentral:misc_RNA from 1 species